UACAGAGGUCUCAAGCGUUGUUCGGAUUCAUUGGGCGUAAAGGGUGCGUAGGUGGCGCCGUAAGUCGGGUGUGAAAUUUCGGAGCUUAACUCCGAAACUGCAUUCGAUACUGCGGUGCUUGAGGACUGGAGAGGAGACUGGAAUUCAUGGUGUAGCAGUGAAAUGCGUAGAGAUCAUGAGGAAGACCAGUGGCGAAGGCGGGUCUCUGGA
rnacentral:rRNA from 1 species